AUAUAUAUGCAGACAAUAUUAUAGUUUGUAAAGUAAUGUUAUAGUUUAUGUCAUUAUGUGUACAUAUAGCUAAAAUAUACACCGGGGAUGUGUGCAUAUGCAGAUAUACACAUAUAAUAUAAAUGUAGUAUGUUGUAUUUAUGUAACCUAUAACCCAUUUUUUUGAUAAAAUUAUUACCUUUAUAUUCAAUAUUUAAUAUUAAAACAGGUAUUAAUGAGAUAAAACAGUGCAUAUAUACGACAUUGUGUAAUAUAUAAUGCAUAUCACAUUACAUACCUUGUAUUAUACAUGGAUGUAGAUCACAGAUUACAUAGAUUAUCCUUAAUGUAAUAAUAUAUACAUAUUGCAUCCAUGUGUAUUUAAUACCUAUAAUAUAGAUUCUAGCUAAUAAAACAUAUAGAUAUAUAAUAUCAAAUAUUAUAUAUAAUUGAAAUACUAUUGCAUGUAAUAUACUGAACAUAAGAUACCUAAUAUAUUUUGUAUAAUUAUAUUAAUAUAUAGCUACAGGACUAUUAAUAGGUAUAGGGGCMUAUUAAUAGGUAUAGGAAUAAGAUAAUACCUAUACAAAUGUUUGUUAAAAAUGUUAGGCAYCCUUCUAAAGCUGAAGGAAGGCACAAUUAGAAGGAAUAUUGGGAGGAAAUCCUUGGCUGUGAGGGUGGUUUAGCCCUGGCACAGGUUUUCAGAGAAGCUGUGGCUGCCCCAUCCCUGCAAGUGUUCCAGGGCAGGUUGGAUGGGGCUUGGAGCAACUUGGGAUAGUGCCUGCUGUGGCAAGGGUGGAGUAAGAUGAGCUUUAAGUUCCUUUCCAACACAACCCAUUCUGGAGCUCCAUGGUAAGUAUMAAUUAAUUUAUAUAUUAUUUAAUUAAUUAUUCUUAAUGCCAUUUUGGUGGCUGCUGCUGCAGCUGGAGGAGGUGAGGGUUCCUUGGGCCUGUGUUGCUGCCCUGUGGAGGGUGCUGAGCUGUGCAGGAGCCAUGUGCUCUCGGUGUUCUGGCUGUAGCUGCCCCUGUACCAGCCUGCUGCAGGGGCAGUGAGGAUACACGGCUGUGCCAGCCCUGGGUGAGGGGCACCGCCCGCUCCGAGGGCUGCCAGCACAGCCCCUGAGCACUGACCCCUGCUUGGCAGAGUAGCUGGGCCCUGCCUGUUUUCCAGCUGCACACGAGGGUGGUGCUGGGCCUGGGGCAGGGAUCCUCCUUGGGAAAGGCAGGUGGAAGCAGGGCUCCCAACGGCUCCAUUGUGUGUGCAGUUAUUUCUGCAAAGGAAGCUUUAUUUGGAGCCAUCUGGAUUAACUCUGUUUCUGGCCAGAGCACCUCUAAUUUAGGGGAGGACUUUAGGAAGGCAGAUUUCCAGGUGUCUUUUCAGACAUCAUUAUGGCUGAGUGCAGGUCCUUUCAUUUGCUUAAGGAUUGUCUCUGUAGAGAAGAAAAUCACCAUUAGAAACAUCUUGUUUUUAAUGCUGAUGCGAGGGGUUUGGCCAUGAGGCAUUGCCCGGAAGCAGGACAUUGGCGUCUGGGGGUCCCAAGGGUCUGUCACUGUGCUUGGUGCCAUGGGCAGGGCUGSGCUGGCAGGAGGUGCCAUCCUGCAGGGUGGCAAAGGGCACUGCUGCCACAUGGGGCACGACCAUGGGUGCCCAUGUGUCAGUCACAGCGCAGUCUGAACUCCUCAAGAGCACUCCAAUCUGGAACACUGCUGCUGGCUCUGCACCCGGCGGCUGUUCCUGCAGCUGUGGCUCCAGCAGAGAGGGACAAAGCACGCRUCCAGCAGGGACUGUCCCUGUCCCCUGUGAGCCAGCCCUGCACACCCACGGCACCCGCAGCAGCUGGGCCCAGGCAGCACCACUGGCAUCACUGAAGUUCCAGCCCCGGCACCUCCCGCCAUCCGCCACACACCACACAGGUACGCGCCUUUUAUUGCUCUGGGGAGAAAUUUUAUUGUGAGCAAAGAUUUUAUUCAUUUUGUAAGGGAUAACAGAGUGGCUUUGUCAUCCAGUUCAGGGUGCAAAACCACAAUGGAAUUUAUACAAAUUAAUAAUUUUUUAACAUCAGGAAACACAAUUUUCAUCAAAUUCUUCCCUGAAUUAGAGAUGCAUAUUGCUCUAAGGAGAAAGGGSUCCUUACUCAGAAGAAUGCCUUUGAAAUUGUUUCAGACCAGCUAUUGGAUAGCUAAGGGCCAGGCAGCCUUGCCUGUCCAGCCCUGAAAGUAAAAUAAAUUAAAAUACACCUUAUAUUUUCUAAAUUCCUUCACUGACAGAAAAUGAAUAGAAAGCAAAAUCCARCUGUGAAGCAGAAAAUCAAACUGGYCAUCUGAGCCCUCAGUGACAGAGGCUCCUUCCCACAGCUGUACUGGGCGARUUCCUGUCAGGGGCCAGGAGCUGCUGCCCCUCGGGCCCAGAGCACACGGCAGAGCUCAGGGGCCACCUCGCCAUCACUGACCAUGGCUGGAAUGUGCUCCACAGGUACACAGCAGCCCUGAGCCAAGCACUGGCACUCAGACAGACAGAUGGCCAUAACACCAACUGUAAGUGCAAAAACAAAUGGGGAUCCAACRGGCAUUUCCCAAAAAAUGCAAUCCCUUUGCUUAAAGCAACUCCCAUUCUGUUGGGAGGUGUGUGUGUGAGUGCCCAGGAUCAACAAAGCAGCAGUAGGACAGGGCUCUUUGCUGCUGGAUCUGAGAUUUUUGUUGCUUUAAGAUACUGGGGAUUUAGCUAUAAAAAUUUUCACCCCAUUAACCUACAACACGUGUAGACCAAAACACAUCAGCUACUGCCAACACGAGCUCUGCUCACUACAGCAGGUGUUGGAAGACACCUCGAGUCCUCAAAGGCCUUCAGCUGUGUUGUCCCCCAGCUACAGACAGGUCACAGCCUGCUKGGACAAGGUGAGGAGGCUACCCAGUUCUUCACAUUGUGCUGGGAAGGGGUCAUAGCAGGAGUGUGGCUUUUGCUCUUCUACAAGGGAUUUGCUUAUUUUUGUUUCUCUGGGGAGCAGUUCCAGUGCACAGCCAUCACAUACACCAUGGAAAGGCCACAGUGCUUCCACGGCAGGACAGCAGAGACUGGGGAGCUUCUCCCUCAUCCACCUGUGUGCCAGCAGGGAACAUUUAGGACCUGGCUAAUCAUGGGAAAACCUCAAUUUAGAAGAAAUUCCCUAAUGCACAGGUAAGUGCUGCCUGGAAUGACUAAAGCAAUGCUCUAAGGGUACAUUAAAUAACUGGUUUCAGUGCUGGUUCACGACCCGUGGCUGCAGUGCCUGCGCCCAGGCAUUCAGGGUCCUUGCUCACCUGGUCCCAGUGCAGUCGUGAUGGUGACACAGGUGACACCUGAUCCCCAGCCAUGUGUGUGUCCAGACUGGGGAAAGGCCAUUUCCCAGAGCAAACCCCUGGCCCGGCCCCUUCAUGAYGUGUUCACGCAGAAUUGCCCGUUCUGAUCUGUGCUCAGGUGCCUCGGCUGCCAUGGCCGCAGCUCUGUGCUCCAGGGCCUCAGCUGGAUGCCUUGCUGAGGGCACUGGCGGAGCGGCGGAGCUUCCCAGAAACCCUGCUCCUGGAGGCACACGGCAGCACGGGCGAGGGCGGCUCCACCAGCUCCACACCGAUGGUGACAGUGAGGUCAGCGCUUGCACUUGUGGUGAGGCAGCCUGGAAAACAGAGCGGGCAGGGAAAACCCAGGAGAAAUCUCCAGGCAGCUGAAGAACUGCCAUAGCACACUUCACAGAGAAAGCAGGGAUUUCUCUUUCCCAACUCACAGAAGUGAGGAGCAGUGAGGCCAUGAGGGGCUGUCAGCGUCCAGCUUUUGUGUAUUUGGCCUGUUACGGAGAGCUGGAAAUGAGCAUCUCUAGCAUGAGAGCUGGCAUGGAACUCUCCCUAGAAGUUUCCUUAACCUCUGGAAAAAUCCUAAAGAAUAAUUUCUUCCAAUUCCACAACAUAACAGGUACCCUUGUUACUGGUGGCAUACGGUAACCACUGGGGAAGGGUCUCAGGGGGCCAUGGCU